AGUUUUUAAGCCAUGUAUCAAAGGCAUUGAGGGGGCAGCCACUGGUCAAGAUCACCCCAUGAGUCAGUGCCAAAGCUGGGAAUACAACCCAGACUUUCUGACUCCCUGGCCUGUCCCCUGACCAGCAAGCCACAUGCUCUUGACCAGUAUGAAACAAGCUGUCUGUCUCUGUGUUCCCUCAAUGCUGAGGGAAAGAAAUGUCAACCUAGCCAUUUCUUCUCCCAACCUUCAUCAGUCAUUUAUUUCAUCAGCCAACAGCUCCUUCUGCCUGUACAUGCCAUCAAGUGUUUGCUUGGUGUGACAGCCCUCGGGGCACUCCAGGAGGAGUGACAGCAUAAUUUGUUUACUAUUCUCUCCAAAUUCUGAAGACGGAAACUUCAUUAACUUUUCUGAUAAAGCACAAAGACUGUGAUUAGCCUUGUCCGUAAAAUUAAAAAAG
rnacentral:lncRNA from 1 species